rnacentral:tRNA from 1 species
GCCUGGGUGGCUCAGUCAGUUGAGCGUCUGACUUCAGCUCAGGUCAUGAUCUAAUAGUGUGUGGGAUCGAGCCCCACAUCAGGCU